rnacentral:rRNA from 1 species
GACGAACGCUGGCGGCGUGCUUAACACAUGCAAGUCGAACGGAAAGGCCCUGCUUUUGUUGGUUGCUCGUGUUGCGAACGGGUGUGUAACACGUGAGUAACCUGCCCUUGACUUUGUGAUAACUUCAGGAAACUGUGGCUAAUACCGGAUAGGAUCUCCUGCUGCAUGGUGGGGGUUGGAAAGUUUCGGCGGUUGGGGAUGGACUCGCGGCUUAUCAGCUUGUUGGUGGGGUAGUGGCUUACCAAGGCUUUGACGGGUAGCCGGCCUGAGAGGGUGACCGGGGACAAUGGGACGGAGAUACGGACCAGAGGCGUACGGGAGGCAGGAGUGGGGAAUAUUGCACAAUGGGCGGAAGCAUGAUGAAGAAAAGCGGGGUGCGGGAUGACGGCCUUCGGGUUGUAAACAGAUUUAGAAUGAGAAGAAGAGAGAGUGACGGUAAUGGGUAAAGAAGCAACGGCUAACUACGUG